AGACAGGCAAGAUCUGGGGAAGGAACAUCCAGGCAGAGCGGACAGGCUGUCCAAGAGGGCGUCCAAGGAGCAGAAGGAAGGAGUUUGUUUAAAAUCUGUAUGAGCAACUUGAGAAGAUAAUUUCGGCUUUGCUACUUGCAUUCUUCCUAUUGCCCACCAGAGGGCACUCAAGCACCCGCCAGGCGGAGUUCCCUAACCCGUGGAUUCCUCAACCGCACCCAGCAUCUUCCCAGGCUGGAGCUGAGUUAGAACAAGGGAAAGUUGACCCGCUAAGUGUCUUCUGAAAGGGCCAUCUAAAUGGUGUCAAGAGAAGCCGCCGCCUGUGACUGAGAAAAAUACAAAUGACACUCAUGCGAGCCCAGUAGGAUGUACAGCCACUGCCUCUCUGCGGUCACGUUUGCUGUGUUAUUCACAUUCCCAGAGGAAAAAGCUGUGUGCCUGGCUUUAGCAUUCUUUCCAGCAGUCUUUAUUUCCUCUUCUCGGGCACAUUAGGGAAUGUUUUGUACCUUGUCACAUUAGAGGAAAAAAAAAAAAAAGGACGUUCUGCAGAGCGAGUUUAGGGCACACCAGUUAUCAGGGACCUGAGGCCUGACUUGGCCAGAGGUCGGAUGCGGCAAUACCGGGUGCGGAAUGCGUAACCACCCACCCGGGCCGGGGCUUCCCUCACUAAAUUUCAGCAGCACGGCAACCGCAGUUCGCCACUUAGUGUCUCCUGCACUGCAUCCGGCGUAUUUUAAAACUGGAUUCGACUUGGCUAGCAUGAAGUAGGCAGCAAGGGCCACGAGAAUAAGUCUGUUAUGGACUCGACAUUCAUAAUAACAAAGUUAUUGACAGGAAGUCAGUCUUAUAAGUGGGAAGUAGGAAUGACCCUAAUACUCUCCUGGAAGCCUCAUUAUUUGCUCAUUAUUGUACAGUUCCAGAUAUUCAGAUAACUUUUCUUAGCAGACUACAUUUCUGUUUUUAAUCGUUGGUUCAUGCAAAACCAUUAGGAUGCAAUUCUUACUAAAUCAGUGGCUCCAGCCAGGCGCGAUGGCUCACAUCUGUAACCCCAGCACUUUGGGAGGCCAAUACAGGAAGAUGGCUUGAGGCCUG
rnacentral:lncRNA from 10 species